rnacentral:rRNA from 1 species
CGGACGGGUGAGUAAUACAUAGGUAACCUACCUUAAAGAGGGGGAUAACAAAGAGAAAUCUUUGCUAAAACCGCAUAAGACCACAGUGUCGCAUGGCACAGGGGUCAAAAGAGAAAUCUGCUUUAAGAUGGACUUGUGGCUGAUUAGCUAGUUGGAGUGGUAAAGGCACACCAAGGCGAUGAUCAGUAGCCGGGCUGAGAGGCUGGCCGGCCACAUUGGGACUGAGACACGGCCCAGACUCCUACGGGAGGCAGCAG